GCACAAGCCCCCUGAAGGAACCAUGUAGACUACGUGGUUGAUAGGUCAGGUGUGUAAGUACAGCAAUGUAUUGAGCUAACUGAUACUAAUGAUCCGUGCGGCUUGACCAU
rnacentral:rRNA from 1 species